rnacentral:lncRNA from 1 species
CCCAGCGGAAGUGCGUGCAGUGACUUCCGCCGGCUGGGCUCUCUAUCCUGGUCCGGACGCUUGGAGGACCUUGGGGUUUCUUGGGGAACCUCGGACUCGUUAGCAGACCUUCAUGUGGCCGGCCUUUGCCUCCUGAGGUGCUUAUGGCUAGGCCAGCUCCAAGAGACACAUGAGAUCCUCUCCAGCUGGACUCUAAUCUGCUGGGACUCCUUAAUCCAGAGUAGGCAACAGCACUAGAGAACUCUGGCAGCCUGGCUCUGGC